UAUAUGUAUCACAAAGUAACAUAAAAAUUUGAAAAUUCACAAAAAAAGUAACCGGGAUCUAGUAAAUUGGAUGCGCGCUUCUUUGUUUCUGGAUAAUUCCUUUCUCUAGGUUUUGCUCUCCCAACCUAACAGAUACAAGCUUCAAUUCCUUUUUUUUUUCUUCCAAUUUUUCCUUUCAUUAUGACCUAUACCUGUUGCGCCUGUCGUUCACCCCCGCUCGCGCCUGCCGUUCACCACCACUCACGUUCACCCCCAGCUCGUGGCUGUCGUUCACCACUGCUCGCACCUGCCGUUCUUAUUCGGCGAUUCGUCUUCAGCCUCUCGCCGCUGUCGUUCACCACCGCUCGUACUUCUCGAGCUCGCUGCUGUCGUUCACCACCGUUCGUCUUCAGCCGCUUGCGCCUGCCGUUCACAUCCCUCACGCUCCCUUCCGACCCUAAAGGUAAAAACCCUCACUGUUCUGGGAAGCCCCAAGGACGAACGACUAGGAUAGCCCCUGUGCUCGAAUCGGCCGACUGAGGCUCCGGCGUAGCACAGGACGCUCGCCGACAGGGACGAGUGCCCGACUAGGACGUCCUGAGACAACCAGGAGGUCCGAUCACAUACCAGACGACCGCUACUUCGGACGACGCCCUCCCCGGGACAAGGCUCCGGGACCCCACCACCUAGGAGUUGACCUAGGCCCACCACCCUACGGAACUAGGGUGGUUGGGUGUGGAUCUCAAGAAAUCAUAGACCGUUAGAUCACAGCUUGCAGCAGGGGAAGCAGAGGAUCCAACGGUCCUGAUCCUAUCAGUACGGACCAUGCAUGACGUUGCAUGGCUCCAACCCUAAUAUCCCUACGUGUAUAUAAAGGAGGCUCCUUCCCUACACCAAGGAGCCCCUCCCGGGAUCAUCCAACUCGUCGGCUUACCACCUCUCCACCCCUCUCCGUCACUCUCGCUCUCCGAGUGGCUUGGUCACUCCGAUCACUCACCCUAUGAAUUUAAUUUUUCUUGAUUAUUAAACCCGCAAUCUGCCAUUAAUGUUGAUGGUGAAUCUUAAAAAAUUGCAAUGGAUUUCUCUCUUUUUGUUUCUUAUCUUGUCUGGUUGUUUUUGUUUCUGGUUAAUUGUUGGUUUAGUUGACAAGGAUUUAGGGGAGAACUGUGCUGGUGUGAUUCGAACCAGUGAUGAAUUGGAUUACCAACCUUUAGUCCGUUAUGAUUCUUCUGAUAGUGAAUAAGUCUGUGAAAUAGAUUGUCUUUGAAUCUUUGGGAGUUUGUUUUAUCCAUUAGUAGUCCUUGUUUCAGGAACAAGUUAAGGUAUAUUUUAAUUUUUAAUUUCAAGUGAUUUCCCUUCUUUUCUUCAACAAUUUAUAAAUCUAUAUAGUAUUUUACAUGUUGUGAGGUUGUUUUGUAGCUUGUUGGGAGAACUUUUAUUGUGUUGAGUGGCUUCUUUAUAGUUUAUAUACCUUUUAGUUUGUUAGUUAGAACCCCCUCCCUGUGUGUGGAAUUGUGAAUUGUUUGAACCUUGUAUGUGUGGAAUAGGAACAUGAAUGCAGGCACAACAGGUUUUGGAGAAUCGCUGCUAUCAACCAAGCAGGAGGGGAAAGAUAGAAUAACAAUGGAAGAAGAUAGAAUAACAAUGGAAGAUAUGGACCUUGCUGUCCGUGCCAAUCUUAGGGGAUGAAAAAAUUUGUACCUUGAUGACCUCCAGCUAGUCUUCUAAUUAUUCUACUGUCAGAAGGCUCCCAAUGGAAUGGACAAAGUUGUCGUUCCGCUUGUGGAAUCAGGAAAUGUAAAGGUUUGAGGAUGAUGGAUUGCUGCUCCACAUAGCCAGCAAAUGAUGCAAGAAAUCAUUAUGUUAGUGAGCCUUUCUACUAUAUCCCAGUUCAUAGAUAAGCAUAGGAGUGUUCUUAGCAAAUUUCAAGAAGGAGAUCAAGGUUUACUAUAGCUGAAGAAUCAAAGCAAUGGUCGUGUUAUUAUCAAUGCAUCAAUUGCAAGUUGGUUACCUUUACCAAGAUGAGGUUAUAUGGUGUAAGUAUAAUAGUUUAUGCAUUAAGUUUUAUCCUUCUCUGUUUUCUUUAUCAUUCUCUGUUCAAUUGCCUUUGGUACAGCUUGGCUUAGGAAUUUCCAAAGGCCAAUGGAAUUGUAUUCAGAUUGAAAUCGUCUACAAGUGUUUUUUUUUUAAUUAGUUUCCAACUUAUUUGUUAGAAUCAAGUUGUUAUUCAUGCUAUAGGGAAAAAAAGCAAAAGACCCUAUCUUUUGAGUAA